rnacentral:lncRNA from 1 species
GCCGCCAUCGAUGACCCCGGCCACGGACCUGCUCCAGCCCGGCCAUCCCCCAUGGAGGAACUGGGCCUGGAAGCACUCUUUCUGAGUUCCCCAUUGUGUGAGUCAGAGCAAGGACUGAGAGCCACGUCUCGCAGAAGACUUCCCCAGCUGAGUUGCACGCCCUUGUGCGGGUCUUUUAGAAAUCUACCAGUUGGUUUAUCAGCUUUGCGGUCCAGUAAAUGUCAGUUGCCUUCCCCAGGACUGCAGAUGCUGCAGUCCGGUGCCUGACUGCUGCGGAGAUCCCCUAAGACUCCCUUUGUGCUCCCAGUUCUGAAUCCUUCCUCCCACAACUUCCAGGUACCUCAUGCUUCCUUCCCACUGCCUCAAUGCUACCCCCAUUUUUUGCCUCAGUUGCCUUCCCUUCAGACUGCUGCUGGUGGUAGAUGGCAAUACAAUGCUGUUAUUUCCCCCCUUCUCUUUUCUUUAAAUGAUCCAAAAACAGUGAAGAAAAUGAGAAACAAACAAACCAAAAAACCGAAUGCUAUUUUUGGCAAAUGGGGGAGAUAGUUAAAAUUGCUUCCCCAAAAGGAAGAAGUGAGAUCCAGUGGGGGUGCGUUGGAGGCACGGAGAUGUGCUGUGGGUGUUCAGUCAAGACCACUUCUCAGGAGGGCAAGAGCCCUUGGCUCGGCACAAAACCCAAGUUCCUUCUAGGUCACAGGGGGAUAAGAAAGCCUGUAUCAGUGGCCAGCAUUUCCUACCAACCCAGAUGAGUCCCGUCUCUCUUUUUCUCCUCAUUAGUUUUGCCAGAGGUACAGAUUAUU